rnacentral:tRNA from 1 species
AGGGAGGUGACUGAGAGGCUUAAAGUGAAAGUUUGCUAAACUUUUGUGUAAAUAUUUUACACCAUGGGUUCGAAUCCCAUUCUUCCUU